UCCAGCUUCACUUGCCAGAUUGUUCUUUGUCAUUCAGUGCAAGACUUUGCAGCAUGUGUUGCUUUCUUGUUGCCAGCCUCGCCUGCCUCUGACUCUCCUGCUUCGCCUGCUCCAUGGUAAACCACUCAGCCUUCUGUCCCCAACCAAGGGCUCCACAUUCACAUUCCUGGUUUCUCCACCUGUUCCCCAUGGCUGAGUGGAGGGACUGCCAGUCAGCUCUACAUCACACCAGAGACUCUCCCCCUCUGUGCUUCAGCCCCUGGAUUAAACCUGCGCCCCGGGAAUCUACAGGCCUAGGAGUUAAUCUUGCUUGCUGUUUCACUUGCCUGAUUGUUCUGUUUGUUGCAAGUGGUUUCAUUAAAGCCUAUUACAAACUGA